GAUGAACGCUGGCGGCAUGCCUAACACAUGCAAGUCGGGCGAACAGUCGUGGUUCUUGUUGCGGACGCGUUAGUAACGCGCGAGAACCUGCCCUUGGGAGGGCAACAACAUCUGGAAACGGCUACUAAUACCCCGUAGGCUUAGUAGCAAAAGAUGGAAUCCGCCUGAGGGUUGGUUCGCGACUGAUUAGCUAGUUGUUGCUUGAAUAGCUGACCAAGGCGAGUGACAGUCGCUGGUACGAGAGGAAGAUCGGCCACACUGCGACUGAGACCCGGCGCAGGGUCCCACGGGAGACAGGAGUGAGGAAGAUGCAGCAAUGGGGGGUAGGUUGAGGGGGUCAUGGCGCGUGAAGGUAGAAUGAUUAGGGAACGUGAAAUGCGUAUGCAGGAGAAGAAGCAUUGACGGUACCUGGGGAAAAAGCAUCGGCUAACUACGUG
rnacentral:rRNA from 1 species